rnacentral:piRNA from 1 species
UCUUUUAAUCAGGAAGCAUGGGUGCUUGU